UUAUAAAUAAAUGUCCUAACCUUGAUGCGCGGGCGAGAGAGAGCGAGCGAGGAAGCGAUCAAAUCAAAAUGGCGUGCAUCGUAAAUUUCUCGGCGAUAACGCAGCCAAAGCCUCAGCCUUGCUUUGCUUCACUCCCAGCCUCCACUUCUUCCCAUCGCUCUAACUCUCCCAAGCUUCAAACUUCACACUUGUCAUUCGCCUCGAAUAAUUCACGCAUCUCCCUCCGUUACGAUAGAACCCUAGCCGUCUCUCCUCCAAGGGAAACCUUGUUGUCAAAAGCUCCUAAUUUCAUGAUAGUAGCAGCUGCUAAUAAGCCAGAACUCUCAAAAUUAUGAUAUCUGGGGCUCCUGCUUCUGGCAAAGGAACCCAAUGCGAGCUCAUCACACAAAAAAAGAACAGAUUGAAUCAAGUCAUCCUCCUAUAUGCAGUAUGGCUUGGUGCAUGUUGCUGCUGGCGAUUUACUUAGGGCAGCAGUUGC